rnacentral:lncRNA from 1 species
UUUUUUUCUUUUUUGAGACAAAGUCUCGCUCUUAUCCCCCGGGCUGUAGUGCGAUGGCGCCAUCUCGGCUCACCGAAACCUCUGCCUCCUGGGUUCAAGCGAUUCUCCUGCCUCGGUCCCCCGAGUAGCUGGGAUUACAGGUGCCUGCCACCAUGCCUGGCUAAUUUUUGUAUUUUUAGUGGAGAUGGGGUUUCACCAUGUUGGCCAGGCUGGUCGAGAACCUCUGACCUCAGGUGAUCCACCCGCCUCGGCCUCCCAAAGUGUUGGGAUUACAGUCGUGAGCCACCGUGCCCGACCAUUGUUGACCAAAACAUCUUAUGUGGCACAUGACUGUAUGUGCAAACAGGGGCCCAGUAUUACACAAUUCAUUGAAAAUUUGCUACUUUGUAGUGUCAAAUGAUUAGUUUGACUUUUUAAAAAUCUCACUUGAACUGGAAUCGAACUAGAGUCUGAGAGUCAGUUGUCCUAGGUUUUCACUUCUGCCUCCACAACUGACUAGCUGUGUGAUAUUUCAGAGAUCAUUUCUCCUCUGUAGAUCAGAGUGAGAUUAUGUGAGUUUCAGGGCCCGUUCCAGGCCUAACACUUUCUGUAUUUUUAUUCAGUAGCAGCAAUUAAAGCAUUUCACAUAACACAGCAGUAGCAAAGUCUGGACUGGAAUGCAUGCCUUACAACCCACUUAACCUCUUUUUUUUUUUUUUUUCUUUACCUUUCAAACUUUUUAAAAGUAAAGUAUAAUAUACACACAGUAUAGGAAGUACAUAGAGUAUACUAAUCUUUUUUUUUUUUUUGAGACAGAAUUUCACUCAUGUUGCCCAGACCGAGUGCGGUGGCGCCAUCUUGGAACACUGCAACAUCCACCUCCCGGGUUCAAGGGAUUCUCCUGCCUCAGCCUCCCGAGUAGCUGGGAUUACAGGCAUAUGCCACCAUGCCCAGCUGAUUUUUGUAUUUUUAGUAGAGAUGGGGUUUCUCCAUUGGUCAGGCUGGUCUGGAACUCCCCACCUCAGGUGAUCUGCCUGUCUCUGCUUCCCAAAGUGCUGGGAUUACUCUGCU